rnacentral:snoRNA from 1 species
UGAGGAAGCUGAAUCUAGUGCAGACAGAUGUAUAGUCUUCUGUCUGCUCUUUCAGCUUUCCUAGAGUAAAGCGAAGGUCUCUGUCUGGUUUAGAACAGUUAACUGAUCCAGAUCGUUCCCCUUUGAACAUU